CUUACCAUGUGGUGGAAGUUCCUGUUUCGUUUGACUAUAAGUACUAAAUGUCUAGGAUACACACUACAAAAAAAUCUUCCUAUUCACAGUUGUGGAGUAUGAUAAUUCGUGCUUCUUGCUCUUCCAAUCUUCCCAAUGAAGUUCCUGGUAUUCCUUGUAUUGAUUUGUGCCUCUACUAUCCUGGUAUUUUGUUUUCCCUCUGGAAGGAAAUCAGUUGAUGAAAGCAACUAUGUGGCUGAAGAACAACUCAUUAGGACUGUGAAAGGCAAAGGAUCUUCUCAGGAACCAGAAGACUCACAAGAAAGUUCUAUGAACAGUGGUGGCAAUGUGUUUGAUCGUGCUGAGAUGGUACUCCGGGGGAUCAUAGAUUGUU
ensembl:lincRNA Gm6135 prediticted gene 6135